rnacentral:rRNA from 1 species
GACGGAGGAUGCAAGUGUUAUCCGGAAUCACUGGGCGUAAAGCGUCUGUAGGUGGUUUAAAAAGUCCACUGUUAAAAAUUGAAGCUUAACUUCAAAGAUGCCGUGGAAACUUUUAAACUUGAGUAUGGUAGGGGUAGAGGGAAUUUCCAGUGGAGCGGUGAAAUGCGUAGAUAUUGGAAAGACCACCGAUGGCGAAGGCACUCUACUGGGCCAUUACUGACACUGAGAGACGAAAGCUAGGGGAGCAAAUGGG